GAAAGCGGAGCAUCAUUGUAGGAUUGGUUUCUGACCUAUCAGUUAGUAUGUUUUGUAAGGGAGAACAUAGACUAUGACGGGUAACGGGGGAUGCACGUCUGAUACCGGAGAGGAAGCCUUAGAAACCGCUUUCACGUCCAAGGAUGGCAGCAGGCGCGAAACUUACCCAAUUAUUAUAUUGAUAGAGGUAGUUAUGACGCAUGUUAAGAUUUUAAAUUGAAACUUCAUUAAAGAUAGAUAAGCGACUGGAGGGCAAGUCUGGUGCCAGCAGCCGCGGUAAUUCCAGCUCCAGUAGUGCAUAUACAUGCUGUAGUUAGAAAGUUUGUAGCCAGUUUAUGGAUUGUUUUUGAUAAUAGUUAUUCUCCAAAAGAGCUAAUUUUAACUAAUUCAUAAAAAUAGAAGCGGAUGAAGGUAAUUGUAUUCACCAGCAAGAGGUAAAAUUUGAUGACCUGGUGAGGACAUUCCGAGGCGAAAGCGAUUGCCUAGUACGUUUUUGAUGGUAAAGAACGUAAGCCGGAGGAUCAAAGAUGAUUAGAUACCGUUGUAGUUCCGGCCGUAAAUUAUGCCAACUUGCAUCUUGUUAUUUAUACAAGGAGCAUAGAGAAAUUAAGAGUUUUUGGGCUCUAGGGAUAGUAAUCCGGCAACGGACAAACUUAAAGAAAUUGGCGGAAGGACACCACAAGGAGUGGAUUAUACGGCUUAAUUUGACUCAACGCGGGAAAACUUACCAGGGCCUAUGUAUAAGAGAAAGUUAACAUUGUAUGUAUACUUGAUUGUACUUUGAGUGGUGCAUGGCCGUUUUCAACACGUGGGGUGACUUGUCAGGUUUAUUCCGGUAACGUGUGAUGUGCAGUAUGCAACUAACUAAUGUUGUGAGACUUCUUGCGGUAAGCUUGAUGAAGAGGCGCUAUAACAGGUCAGUGAUGCCCUUAGAUGUUCUGGGCUGCACGUGUAAUACAGUGGGUAUUUCAAUAUUUAAUUAGAAGUAAAUUUACCCGAGACAGGGAUCAUGCUUUGUAAGAAGCUUGUGAACAUGGAAUUCCUAGUAAUCGCUGCUCACUAAGUAACGAUGAAUAAGUCCCUGUUCUUUGCACACACCGCCCGUCGCUAUCUGAGAUGGAUGACUUUAUAAAGAUGCUGCUGUGAAGAGGCAUUUGUGUAAGGUCAACUAGAUUAGAUAUAAGUCGUAACAAGGCAGCGGUAGAAGAAUCUGCCGCUAGAUCAUACUAGAUAUUUUUUCUUUAUAUAAGAAUUAUUAUUAUAUACUGCUCCUGAAGGAUGUCUCGGGUUCGUUGCGCGGAAGGACGCAGAGGUGUGCGAUAGCGAGGCUGAAUAUUCAGCAGCCUCAUUUCCGAAAGAUUACACCCUCAACUUAAGCAUAUCAAUAGGGGUUGGAGAAGAAAUAAACGUAGAUUCCCCCAGUAGUGGCGAAUGAACAGGGAAGAGUCCAUAUGGUAAGCCUUUUAGGCGUUGUAUAGUGGUUGUGUUAAGACUGUGAAAACAGACACGAUACAGGGUUAUAGUCCCGUAUUUCGACACAUUGAGACGAGUAGCUCUGCUUGGUACUGCAGAGUGAAUUGGGUGGUUGGACUAUCCAAGACUAAAUAUAUGCGAACACCGAUAGAGAACAAGUACUGCGAAGGAAAGACAGUAACUCACUAGGGUUACUAGAUUGAAAUCAGGAGCAGGGAAGGCAAUUUAUUGCACCCGUCUUGAAACACGGACC
rnacentral:rRNA from 1 species